rnacentral:rRNA from 1 species
CGUGAUGGGACUAACCGUCUGUCGCUGGGAAGAAGCUUAACUUGGGGGAAACUGCCACGAAAAUAAAACUUUAAUAUAAGUUUGCCUUUCUUUAAUUUUGUUAUUUUAGAAAUUUAAAUUAUUAAUUUAAUUUUUUCCUAGUCCCUUAUCCUAAAGAUGAGGAGACAUAGGUAGGUAGUUUUUAUUUAUAUAUUGUUAUUUUAGUAUAAAAAAUAAUAAUUUUUGGGGUAAAAAAACACUUAUAUUAAGCUAUUUAGUAUCUGUUAACCCAUUUAAGUAACAUCUCAAAAGUCAUAGCAAGGUAGCUUGUACUGGG